rfam:Gossypium hirsutum cultivar TM-1 unplaced genomic scaffold scaffold171.1, whole genome shotgun sequence
UGUUAAAAAUUGCAUCUUUUGUACUGUUAAAAACUAAGUUGACUGAUGGAAUAACCAGAUGUGACUUGACGGAAUAACCAGAUAUAGACAUGUGGUGUGCCACAUGUACCUUAUGAUGGCGUACAUGAACCAGUUUUUAACUGUAGAAAUAGAUGAAAUUUUUAAUA